AAAAACAUGUCCUUUAGAGUUUAAUUUAAGGUCUGACCUGCCCACUGAUUUAAAUGGCCGCAGUAUUUUAACUGUGCAAAGGUAGCAUAAUCAUUAGUCUUUUAAUUGAAGGCUUGUAUGAAUGGUUGGACGAAAUAUUAACUGUUUCAUAAAAAUUUAUAGAAUUUUAUUUUUUAGUUAAAAAGCUAAAAUUUUUUUAAAAGACGAGAAGACCCUAUAGAUCUUUAUAAUUUUUGUAUUAUAGUUAUUUAGAUAAUUUAAAUUAUAAUUUUAUGAAUUAUUUUGUUGGGGUGACAUUAAAAUUUAAUUAACUUUUAAUUUGUUUAUACAUUGAUUUAUGAUUAAUUGAUCCAUUAUUAGUGAUUAUAAAAUUAAGUUACCUUAGGGAUAACAGCGUAAUUUUUUUAGAGAGUUCAUAUCGAUAAAAAAGAUUGCGACCUCGAUGUUGGAUUAAGAUAUAAUUUUGGGUGCAGCAAUUCAUUGAUUAAGUCUGUUCGACUUUUAAUUUCUUACAUGA
rnacentral:rRNA from 1 species